rnacentral:rRNA from 1 species
AACGUAGGAGGCGAGCGUUAUCCGGAUUUACUGGGUGUAAAGCGCGUGCAGGCGGUUUGCUAAGUUGGAUGUGAAAGCUCCUGGCUCAACUGGGAGAGGUCGUUCAAUACUGGCAGACUUGAGAGCAGUAGGGGAAGGUGGAAUUCCGGGAGUAGUGGUGAAAUGCGUAGAUAUCCGGAGGAACACCAGUGGCGAAAGCGGCCUUCUGGACUGCAUCUGACGCUCAGACGCGAAAGCUAGGGUAGCAAACGGG